UACAGAGGGUGCGAGCGUUAAUCGGAAUUACUGGGCGUAAAGGGUGUGUAGGUGGUUGUAUAAGUUAGAUGUGAAAUCCCCGGGCUCAACCUGGGAAUUGCGUUUAAAACUGUAUAGCUAGAGUAUUGUAGAGGAUAGUGGAAUUUCCAGUGUAGCGGUGAAAUGCGUAGAUAUUGGAAGGAACACCAGUGGCGAAGGCGACUAUCUGGGCAGAUACUGACACUGAGACACGAGAGCAUGGGGAGCAAACAGG
rnacentral:rRNA from 1 species